CGCGGUAAUUCCAGCUCUAAGAGUGUAUCUGAAAGUUGUUGCAGUUAAAACGUUCGUAGCUAAUAUUAAUAAAGUUAGCUUUUCAAACGAUCAGAAAUGAAAGGAUGAAAUUUAGACUUUAUAAAGCUGCUAAUAAUUUGCAAGUGUCUUGGAAACUCGAUAACUGCCUGCUAUGCCUUAAAAACAUAGUAGUUUAUUAGCAAGGAUUAACUUUGAAUAAAUUUGGGUGUUCAAAACAAGCUAUAAAGCUUUGAAAACAUUAGCAUGGUAUUACAAAAUACGAUAGUUUCGGCAUUAACUCAAGGCCUCAAAACCUUGUGUCGGACUAUAAUGAAAAAAGAGAGUUGUUGGGGUCACCUUUAUUCUUUGGGGAAGGGUGAAAUCUUAUGAUCCAAAGAAGAAACACUAAGGCGAAAGCACCUAGACCAGGAUGUUUUUGUCAGUCAAGAUCGAAAGUAGAGGGCGCGAAGAUGAUUAGAUACCGUCGUAGUCUCUACAGUAAACUAUGUUGAUUUAGGAUGAUAGAUCAUUUUUUUAUGAUCUCUAUUGAACUAUACGAGAAAUCCAGAAUAUUCGAACUCUGGGGGUAGUAUGGUCGCAAGGCUGAAACUUAAAAGAAUUGACGGAAGAGCACCACCAGGCGUGGAAUAUGCGGCUUAAUUCGACCCAACUCGGGGAAACUUACCAGGUCAGGACAUAUAAAGGAUUGACAGAUUGAUAGCUCUUUCAUGAUAAUAUGAAAGGUGGUGCAUGGCCGUUUUUAGUUGGUGGUUUGAAUUGUCUGGUUAAUUCUGAUAACGAACAAGACCUCUUUAGCUAGUUAGUUUUGGAGGGCCUAUAAACAGUAAUAAACUUCGGUUUAUUGCUAAAAUUAGCGCUUAAAAUAAACUUCUUAGAUAGACUCUUUUUGUUUGUGAAACAAUUAAAAGGAAGAGAGACAAUAACAGGUCUGUUAUGCCCUUAGAUGUUUUGGGAUGCACGCGUAUUACAAUGAAACAGCCAGAAAGUUUCCAAGUUCGACAGAAUUUAGGAAAUCUUUUAACUUGUUCCGUGAUGGGGAUCGUGUCUUGAAAUUAUCGCACUUGAACGAGGAAUGCCUUGUAAGGUUAUUUCAUCAAAAUAACUUGAAUACGUCCCUGCUCUUUGUACACACCGCCCGUCGCUUCUACUGAUUGAAUUUUGGGAUGAGGAUCUUGGACGUUUGACACUGGUUAGUUUCGGCUAGCCAAAUUAGUCGCAAGACUAUUUUAUCGAAAUUUGUUCGAAUCUUACAAUUUAGAAGAAG
rnacentral:rRNA from 1 species